AGAGUUUGAUCCUGGCUCAGGAUGAACGCUGGCGGCGUGCCUAACACAUGCAAGUCGAACGAAGCACUGAGAGUUUGAGAUUUCGGUCAAGAACUUUCUUUGACUUAGUGGCGGACGGGUGAGUAAUGCGUGAGCAACCUGCCUUUCAGAGGGGGACAACAGUUGGAAACGACUGCUAAUACCGCAUGAUAUAUUCGGAUGGCAUCGUCUGAAUAUCAAAGAUUUAUCGCUGAAAGAUGGGCUCACGUCUGAUUAGUUAGUUGGUGAGGUAACGGCUCACCAAGACUGCGAUCAGUAGCCGGACUGAGAGGUUGAACGGCCACAUUGGGACUGAGAUACGGCCCAGACUCCUACGGGAGGCAGCAGUGGGGAAUAUUGGGCAAUGGGCGAAAGCCUGACCCAGCAACGCCGCGUGAAGGAAGAAGGUCUUCGGAUUGUAAACUUCUUUUAUCAGGGACGAAGUAAGUGACGGUACCUGAUGAAUAAGCCACGGCUAACUACGUGCCAGCAGCCGCGGUAAUACGUAGGUGGCAAGCGUUAUCCGGAUUUACUGGGUGUAAAGGGCGCGUAGGCGGGGAUACAAGUCAGAUGUGAAAUCUAUGGGCUUAACCCAUAAACUGCAUUUGAAACUGUUAUUCUUGAGUGGAGUAGAGGCAAGCGGAAUUCCGAGUGUAGCGGUGAAAUGCGUAGAUAUUCGGAGGAACACCAGUGGCGAAGGCGGCUUGCUGGGCUCUAACUGACGCUGAGGCUCGAAAGUGUGGGGAGCAAACAGGAUUAGAUACCCUGGUAGUCCACACUGUAAACGAUGAUUGCUAGGUGUGGGGGGUCUUGACCCCUUCCGUGCCGGAGUUAACGCAAUAAGCAAUCCACCUGGGGAGUAUCGGCCGCAAGGUUGAAACUCAAAGGAAUUGACGGGGACCCGCACAAGCAGUGGAUUAUGUGGUUUAUUUCGAAGCAACGUGAUGAUCCUUACCAGGUCUUGACAUCGGACUAACGAGAUAGAGAUAUGUCAGGUGCCUUUCGGGGAAAGUCGAGACAGGUGGUGCAUGGUUGUCGUCAGCUGGUGUCGUGAGAUGUUGGGUUAAGUCCUGCAAUGAGCGCAACCCCUUCCAUUAGUUGGUUCGCAAGAGCAUUGUAAUGGGACCGCUACGGACAAGGUGGAGGAAGGUGGGGAGGAGGUCAAAUCUUCAUGCCCCUUAUGUCUUGGGCUACACAUGUAAUACAUUGGUCAUUUACUGAGGGAAGCAAAGCCGCGAGGCAGAGCAAAACCCCAAAAAUGAUCUCAGUUCGGAUGGCAGGCUGCAACCCGCCUGCGUGAAGUUGGAAUUGAUAGUAAUCGCAGAUCAGCAUGGUGCGGUGAAUACGUUCCCGGGUCUUGUACUCACCGCCCGUCA
rnacentral:rRNA from 1 species